GCAGCAGUUGAAGGAAUUGUCUCAGCUUUCCAGGGGUCUGUCAGGUCCAGUCGUAGAAUUAUGGAUGUCUAUGCCCAUAGUCAGGUCCUCUCAGUCUCUUGCCCAUGUCAUAAUGUAUAGGUCAAACAUAAGUAAGCAUUCCUUAGCUCAUUGUAUGAAAUUACAGUGUUGGUAUCCAAGCUGGACUGGUCUUUUGCACCAUGAAACUAUUUUUCUGACUCACAACUUUUGCUGAAAUUUAACUUGAAUUCCAAUUGAAAUUGUCUUUCAAUGUAUGGACAUCUUGUUGAACGGCUGCAUUCCUAGUGAGCAUCUACCUUGGAGAUGCUCUUUGCCCUUCUGUGUUCUCUGAAGUAGCCAGGCAGAGCGCACGAUCCUGGUCCUUACUGGUGAAGACUUCUCCUGGCUUCAGAAGACUCUUCAUGUGCUG